rnacentral:pre_miRNA from 1 species
AGUGGAAUCGUUGGGAUAUAUGAUAAAUUUAUGCUUAACUUUUAAGAAACUGUCAAAUUGUUUUCCAAAGUAGCUCUACCAUUCUAUAUUCCCAUCAGCAAU